CAGCGCCACGAGUGGUAACCACGUUUAUUGGGCCUAAAGCGUCCGUAGCCGGUUUGGCAAAUCUUUUGUGAAAUUGUGCAGCUUAACUGUACAGCGUGCAAGAGACACUACCAAACUCGAGACCGGGAGGAGUCAGAAGUAUUCCAGGGGGAGCGGUAAAAUGUUAUAAUCCCUGGAGGACUACCUGUGGCGAAGGCGUCUGACCAGAACGGAUCUGACGGUGAGGGACGAAAGCUAGGGGAGCGAACCGGAUUAGAUACCCGAGUAGUCC
rnacentral:rRNA from 1 species